CAGCAUUUGGCACUGAAACGUUUACCACAGACCACACCUGCCUCCAGCAUUUUACCUGCAGACUGCACUGCAAGGAAUUCUGACAUAUUACCUGGAUGAUUCCCAGCCUUGCACAGCGUAUUUCAUCCACAGUUGUGCUUCUCAGAUCAGAUUCUAAUGGAUACUGUAACAACUAAUGAGCUGUCCAGGGUGUACCUGCCUCUACCACUCAAGUCAGCUGGGAUAGGCUCCAGUCCCAUGUCCUUCAAGAAGAUGAAACAGAAGUAAAAAAUGCAUGAAUGUACAGACAAGUACAAGAUGGUGCACAACAAUGUUCACCACCUUCCACAGACCCUCACACAUGAAGUAGAAAAGGAGAGGGAUGAAAAAAACAACAAUGUUCAAAUCUGGUUUUUGAGUUCUUGAGUGACUGCUGUGGUACCACAAACCUGCAGCAGUGAGCUUCCUCCCACUAUGACAGUACGGACUGGACACUACUCAAACACCAACAUAUGGCAGAGUUUUAGACUCCACAUGGGGUUUUAGUGAAGCAAGCUGAGCAGAAUUCUUUAUAAAUUUACUUAUUGUGUCCCAUAGCAGUCACUGACGGCAAGGACCGCAUUAAUUUUGCAAAACUUCUUUCGUACUUCGCCUUUCAGCAAAAUUUAGCCCCUGCCACAUACUGAAAAACUCAUCAAAAUUUACACCCAGUAUUUGGUAAAUAAAGUAAAUUGGGGCAAAGUGAGCGACAUCACUCCAAACAAAAGGUUGACAUCAAAGCAGGAGAAACCAUCUUUUGGAGCUUAAAAAACAUUUCAAACUCCAUUAAUGAAUCCAAAACACAAAUGUCAGGGGAAUCCAAAGAAAGGUUUAACGUUAUUGUCGUGCUGUGCUUUCCUGGUGAUUGUGCAGCUCUUCAGUACGUGUAUGGGGAGAUAAAUCACUUCACACCACAAGCACUCUUUACUAGGAAACUUUUACUGGUCUUCAGGCAGGUGAGUAUAGAUAAUGGUUUCAAUAGAAAGAGGCUUCUCAUAUUUGCUCGGGCACAGAACAGCUGCGAGACCUGUCCAUGUGAUGAACGUGAGCACCUUCUAAAUAUUUUCACUUCACACACACUUAAUCUCAACUUCAAGUAUUGCGUUACUUUACUUAACCAAUUAGAAGAGGCAGACAUGGGGUUAUGUAUGUCGCAGUACCUUACCUUAAUAUAGGAUGGCCAUAGGACCUAUGGCUUGGUGGUCAUUUUAUGGCAAUGUGGGAAAUUUGUUAAUUUGUUAAUAAACAAUAUAGAGGAAAAAAAAAAAAAAAAACUUAAGCAGUCUUCACAAAAUUUCCCCCACCUGCAGUAAUCAGACAGAAUAUUACAUUUUGUUUUACUGUCAGCGUUUGGUCAAGGCAAUGCUGUAAAUUCCCACUUGAAUUUAUGACAUAAGUACGAGAGUUGCGUUAAGAAUGCCAGAAGAGGAGGCUGUUACGUUGUGUGUUGAAAUUGAUAAUUGAAAUAAUUUUGAUUAUAACAUGUCAUUGUCUGUGGAUUCAUCUGUACGCAAGGUACUACAGAAGAACACAACACCACCAGCUUAAGACUACAACCAAAACCAAAGUUCUGUUGAGAUUUGGACCCCGGGAAGAGGCCAUCUUGAAUUUUUCAAAAAUAUAAUUAAAAUACUUUCAACAAAUUUAAACUCCUAAGAAUUUUGAUCUAUCGCCUCAUCACUCCUCAGGCCUCAUUGAGAAACUACUUGGGGGAAAAAAGUUUAAACG